CAUAUAUUUAUUGAUAGACAACCCACAGGUAUGUAUUGAUAGACAACCCACAGGUAUGUAUUGAUAGACAACCCACAGGUAUGUAUUGAUAGACAACCCACAGGUAUGUAUUGAUAGACAACCCACAGGUAUGUAUUGGAAGACAACCCACAGGUAUGUAUUGAUAGACAACCCACAGGUAUGUAUUGAUAGACAACCCACAGGUAUGUAUUGAUAGACAACCCACAGGUAUGUAUUGAUAGACAACCCACAGGUAUGUAUUGAUAGACAACCCACAGGUAUGUAUUGAUAGACAACCCACAGGUAUGUAUUGAUAGACAACCCACAGGUAUGUAUUGAUAGACAACCCACAGGUAUGUAUUGAUAGACAACCCACAGGUAUGUAUUGAUAGACAACCCACAGGUAUGUAUUGAUAGACAACCCACAGGUAUGUAUUGAAAGACAACCCACAGGUAUGUAUUGAUAGACAACCCACAGGUAUGUAUUGAUAGACAACCCACAGGUAUGUAUUGAUAGACAACCCACAGGUAUGUAUUGGAAGACAACCCACAGGUAUGUAUUGGAAGACAAACAUUCAUGCACAUAACAGAAUGGUUUAAUGUUUAGUUUUAUGUCCAUUUUUAACUCAUCGGACUGAAAGUCAUGUUUGUCGUUAAAACUGUUCCCUUCAUAGCCAGGUGAGUUACGGUACUGAGGCCCCAUUGUCUUCUUCAUGUGAUGGAAAUGACAGCUUCAUAUGCAAGUAUUGU